rnacentral:rRNA from 1 species
UACGAAGGGAGCUAGCGUUGUUCGGAAUCACUGGGCGUAAAGCGCACGUAGGCGGAUGUGUCAGUCAGGGGUGAAAUCCCGGAGCUCAACUUCGGAACUGCCUUUGAUACAGCACGUCUUGAGUCCGAUAGAGGUGGGUGGAAUUCCUAGUGUAGAGGUGAAAAUUCGUAGAUAUUAGGAAGAACACCGGUGGCGAAGGCGGCCCACUGGAUCGGUACUGACGCUGAGGUGCGAAAAGCGUGGGGGAGCAAGCAGG